AACCGAGAACUCCUACGGGAGGCAGCAGUUGGGAAUAUUGGACAAUGGGCGAAUGCCUGAUCCAGCCAUGCCGCGUGUGUGAAGAAGGUCUUCGGAUUGUAAAGCACUUUAAGUUGGGAGGAAGGGCAUUAACCUAAUACGUUAGUGUCUUGACGUUACCGACAGAAUAAGCACCGGCUAACUCUGUGCCAGCAGUCGCGGUAAUACAGAGGUUGCAAGCGUUAAUCGGAAUUACUGGGCGUAAAGCGCGCGUAGGUGGUUUGUUAAGUUGAAUGUGAAAUCCCCGGGCUCAACCUGGGAACUGCAUCCAAAACUGGCAAGCUAGAGUAUGGUAGAGGGUAGUGGAAUUUCCUGUGUAGCGGUGAAAUGCGUAGAUAUAGGAAGGAACACCAGUGGCGAAGGCGACUACCUGGACUGAUACUGACACUGAGGUGCGAAAGCGUGGGGAGCAAACAGGAUUAGAUACCCCGGUAGUCCGACUGAGA
rnacentral:rRNA from 1 species